UUAAUUGGAAGAAUCUUGCUUUUUUAUUAUGAGUUAACUUAAUAAUGCAAAAAGCACUAAACACUAAAACAUCACACAAAAUAAUCAAUAUAGCUUCAUUACGGCUUCAACUGUUGUAUAGUUGUGUUGACUAUAAAAGCAUAGACAAUAUUUGACAACACUAAAAUGGACGUAAUUAUGAUAUGUUAUGAGAUUUUGAGAUAGUCAUUGCAUGUUUGUAAUGGUUAAAAUGAAAAAAUAUUAGUUGUUGUUACUGAGUCGAUAUAUAAAUGGAUUAAAAACAGCAUGUCGUACAUCUGUUACUUCAAUUAAUUCAUAGGAAUUCUUGAGAUAUAUUGUAUUGAAAACACAUUCAUAGUGAUCUAAGUUUGAAAAGCAUUCCGUAGAGAAUAUAGCUUCCAAAGAGGAGUGUGCAGGUUAUAAUUUUCCUUCACCACCCUCUAACAGGGAUGUCAUCAAUUUAGGUAUUCAAGUGGAUGUUAGCAGCAGUACAUUUAUACAGAAUCAUUUGUGGUCAUUUCCGUGUCCACCAGCAUGGUGGCCAGGUUUCUGUACUGAUCUCCAGUCUAUCUCUACAGUAAACUUCUCUUGCCAGGAAAUAACUAUCCUACUAGAAGUAUGCCUCAAACAAACGGAAGAAAAGUUUUAUAUUAAUUUAUUGUCGGAUUGUAAAAUUCAUCUGCAUUGCAAAGAAUUCAAAAGGUUGUGUUCAUCUGAAAAGUAUUGGCAUUACUGUGUCGACGGUACGACUCACAGUGUAACAAAUUCUGUUAAAGAAGAUAAUGCAAAGACACACAUGAAUAAUACAACGGAAAUUACCAUGGGAAAUAGUGUAAUAGACUCAGGUGUAUCCUACAUUGGACCAAACAACUGGCAUGUACUUUGGGCCCUGUUAGUUCUAGUCUACAUAUUCGUAUUUGUGCCUUGCUUUUUAAACUUUGUAAUAAAACGGUCUCUGAUAGAAAAGAUUCGGAACAGAUGUCAGAGAGGUAGAACCAAAACUCUGAAGACAAACUGUGAUGACGACGAACCGCCUUUAAUACCUGCAGUACACAAAGAGUUACACAGUCCAGUUGACGCGGAGAACUCUCUAUUUAUUCCAUCCAGACCAGAUUCUAUGACAUCUUCAAUAGGACAUGAAUUCGAUUUUCCUUACGCCGAUCAAAGUGCAGCUGUUUCAAUGUAUUCUCUGUUAAUAGAUGACCAAGACAGUAGAUGAGAAUACGCAUAAAAUAUUCAUAAACAAAGACAUUUUAUUUAGAUAACUAACUGAGAGAUGCCCGUCAUGCCAAUUCAAAAUGUUUCUUUCAAUUUACUCUAAACCUGGAUAUUGGAAUUCAGAGUGGUACUCUGUCUUCAUUUCCUCAAAAUAUUUUAAAAUAUUUCUGUAACACAAAAACAUAUCACACGGUCAUGCAUUAUUGUUACAUGGAUAUUCUGUGGUUAUAUGUUGGAACUUCAUAGAUUUUGAUCUAGUCUAAUUGUUACAUAGAUAUUCUGUGGUUAUAGGUUUCUAGUACUGAAUAUAUAGAUUAUGAUAUAGUCCAAUGGGCUAUACCGUCUGAAAGAUGUAUAAACAAGAGAAAAUAUUUUUAAACAAUGCAAUUUUAUGCAAUUGUUUUAAGAUAAAGCACUUUGUAAAAAAGUAAAACGGACUUUAAACAUAUAAGGUGUAAACUAUAUUAAACAGACAAAACAGAUACAUAAUAAUAGUACCAGAAAACUUUCGGUCAAAAUACAAUAUCAAAGCAUAAAAGAAGAAGAUGCGAACCAUAGCAUGAUAUACAAGAACACAGCAGUAAAGUAAACCAUAGCAUAAUCUAUACAACUGUAAACCAUAGCAUAAUAUAUACAACUGUAAACUAAAGCAUAAUAUACACAGCUGUUAACCAUAGCAUAAUAUACACAGCUGUUAACCAUAGCAUAAUAUACACAGCUGUUAACCAUAACAUAACAUACACAGCUGUUAACCAUAGCAUAAUAUACACAGCUGUUAACCAUAGCAUAAUCUAUACAACUGUAAACCAUAGCAUAAUAGUGAUAGGCGUUUUGAAUCUGUAUUUAAAUCAUACUAUUAUUGUAAACAAAAGUUGUUUAUUAGAGAUUUUACUCAGGUUUAAAUUUGAAUUGCAUGAAAAGUGUUAAAUAUAGUAUAUGCUCAAUGCCAAAUGUAUAUUUUUUUGAUGAUUGGGAGAAGGAAAUGGCGCUUUUAUGUAAAAUUGCUUUUAUUUUUUCUUUGUUAUAUGUUGUAGUUAUUAUUGUAACAGUGAAAAUUAAACAACAAUUAUUUAUUUUGAAUAUUUGAAUGGUGAGAACAAUAAAUUAGUUUUGUAACUC